AUAUGAGGUUUUCUAACAUAAAUAGGAGUUCCCCUAGCCUGCCUAUGGUCCCCCAGUGGCUAAAACUUGCGUUUGGUGUAAAACGAGCACUAGCUGUUCUGCUCGCCUUUGAAAAAAACGGAGGCUCCAGCGCGCUGAUUUGGAAUGUCUUUAGGUAUGUCGUCACAAAGCAUCUGAGCUCCUCCCCUUACUCUGCCUGGCCCGCCCAGAGAGUUUGGCACACCCAUAAGACAAUGAGCUAGAGACCGUACCAGGGCUCCAGAGUGCGACCAAUUUGGUCGCACAUGCGACCAAAAUAUCAUCUCUCUAUGGUCGCCUGUUGUCACCAAUAAGAGACAGAGCUCAGGGCGUUUCUUUGCCUCUGAUUGGCUGUCGUCUUUUUCACUGCUCUAAGUGCGAGUUCAAAAAAUGCGAUCGACCUGAGCAGGCUGAGCGCCAGAGUUGCCUAAAUUAAACAGAAAAGAAAAUAAACACGACAAAACGAGUGAAAAUGAACAGAGGUAGAAACAUUGAAAGCUUUUUCAUUAAGAAAUCCAGCCAAGACACGGAGACCUCGGCGACGGUCCCUGGGAAGAUGCCAACUGGCCCCGGUCCUUCGGCGAUAACAUUAGAUUCGGAACCAGAGGAGACAACCGAGUCUGAGAUUGAGCCCGGCCCCGAGACUCAAAUUACAAAGCCCAAAAUGUACUCUUUCAGACAUGACUGGUUGACACAAUUUCCCUGGCUGAGAUACGACAAAGGACAGAAUGCAAUGCACUGCAUUUACUGUCGGGAGUGCGGUCAGAAUAUGGCCGGUAAUAGUGCAUUCGUAGGCGAGGCAACAGCGUUUCGUAUCAAAACGUUAAAUGUCCAAAAAGCAUACAAUAUGCCGUGACAAAUGUGUAGAUAAAGUGGCCCCUCUUCCAGCUGCAUUUCAGAGGCAGGCAGUAGUAAUCAGGUCAUCGGAGGAAUCCGAAAUUAUCAUAAAAUGUAAUGUUGCAUACAACAUUGCAAAGGAGGAAAUGCCGUUCACCAAAUUUAAGUCAGAUAUUAUUUUAAUGAAGAAAAAUUGAUUAAACGUCAACCCGACCUACAGCAAUGAUGCGGCAUGUGCCCAAUUCAUUGGUGUAAUAGGAGAUACAUUAAAGAAGAAGACCGCUGCGGACGUUGGUAAACUGCGGUCAAGUGAGCCGCCAUUCGUUCAUCCGCGGUUAAGCCAGCUGUCACACAAAAUCUUCGUGCUAUUGCAGCAUUCUUCAAAGAAAAUAGUCCAAUCCCGGGUUGCUUUUAACUCACUUUAUUUGUUAUAAAGUUGGCAUGUUUCGGUAUGGUAAACUAUGAAGCUUAAGGGAGGGAAUUGUAUCUAACGCGUGGAGAGGAAAAUACCGUGAUCUACUUCAAGCCCCCGGGCUUAGGCCCGGUGUCUCUCUGCUGUCUACCUAUUGAUCUCUGGCCUCUUCACUUGACGUCCUCCGAUAGAGGACGUCAAGUGGGCGUGGCCUAUGCAGUGGGCGUGGCCGGGGUGACGUAAUGGCUUCGGCUUCUUCACCUAUCUAAUGGUGCUGCCUUCUGUGGAGGGAGCAGCCUUCAAUAAGGUCUUGCUCCCCUUGUGGCUAUGUGAGGGUAAUGCAGCUUCUUAAAAUACUUAACAGUGCCCCUUUACUCUAAACAGCCUUUGGGUGGUACCUCGCAAUGUUUUCAAAAUAAAACCCUUCACCUACGCGUGUAGAUAUAUAGAAAUGUCUUACGGCGGCGUCUAGAACGCCGCACUUGCGGCCAUUUUGCCAGUCAGCUGCUCACCCAUAACAUUGUGUUGGUAGUGGUACAUGUACCUUUUAAAUAACCAUAACUUGCUACAUUUUCAACCGGUUUACCAACGGUUUGGUUUCUUACCAACGUUAUUCAUGUGGUUAUAAUAUUGUACCUAUUUUAGAACAUUAUUCCAUUUUUUUUUAGAAUCUAACAUAAUUAUUCAUCAGUAUCAAGUAUGCAGUGCCGUAACUACAUCUCUGACGUUUAUUAGAAAACAAACAGCUUGAAAAUUUAGCAAGUUAUGCUUAUUUAAAAAGUACAUGUACCACUACCAACAGCAGAUGACUGUGGCAAGUUGGCCGCCAGUGCGGACGUUCGACUCCAUUGGCCAGCAGAAUAUGCAUAUGUGAGUUUUUUAAAUGACAUUUUCUCAAAAUCAAUGCAGUAAAAUCACAUGGGUCUGUGUGUACAAGUAGUCAGUAAAACAGUUAGUAUGGUCCUAUCAGUCAGUGCCUGAACUUAUGUGAAAUUCGGUCUAUAGCCCACUUCAAAGUGCUGACAUAAUGCAAUUUGCAAAGGCCAAAAUGUGCAUGUGUGAGUUUUUCAAAAGACAUUUUCUGAAAAUCUAUACAGUAAAAUCACAUGGUUCCUUGUGUACAAUUAGUCAGUACAACAGUUUGUAUGGUCAUAUCAGUCAGUGCCUGAACUUAUGUGAAAUUCGGUCUAUAGCUCACUUCAAAGUGCUGACAUAAUGCAAUUUGCAAAGGCCAAAAUGUGCAUAUGUGAGUUUUUCAAAAGACAUUUUCUGAAAAUCUAUACAGUAAAAUCACAUGGUUCCUUGUGUACAAGUAGUCAGUACAACAGUUUGUAUGGUCAUAUCAGUCAGUGCCUGAACUUAUGUGAAAUUCGGUCUAUAGCUCACUUCAAAGUGCUGACAUAAUGCAAUUAGCCAAGGUGAAAAUAUGCAUAGGCGAGGUUUUUUUAUAGAUAUAAUUGGGCUUAAAAUAAAGUAUUUCUCUACACCUUUUUGUUGUUAAAUCAUUCACAUUAUAUGAAAGUUAUGGAAAGCUAUAAAAAGGUGACCUUUUGGCGUUAAAGGCGACGCAAUGAAAAAUUUGGGUGCACCUAAACUUUCUGCUGGUGCAGAAAGUUUAGGGCGCACCAGUGCAACCAAUGCAAAAUGUUAGUCUGGAGCCCUGCGUACGAUCGCUACACUGUCUUUGCCUGGAGUGGAGAGACAUCAUAGCUUCCAAACAAAUUUAUGGCAGGUGCUCAGUGUUCAGGUGUGAAAGUAAAAAACUAAGUGCAUUUGUAGCUCCUUCAUCCGAGUCUCUGAGGAACCAGUGGGUUCAUUUUGUUUUCGCUGGACACGACUCCCGAAAUGUGUGUUUUUGUGCGCCAAACAUUUCACCGACGACUUCUUCUUCACUUGGGACAAUACAGAGCUGGACUUGCUGAACGUCUGAAAAUUAAGCCUGGAUCAGUACUAACUCUCUUUGCCUCAGCUACAAACCGCGGACAAGUAAGUAAACUAACGCUGUAUCAUGUUCUUGCUUUACUGUGUAUGAUUACCUUGCUUGUUCCCCUUAGAAUGUGGCUGUAGCUUUAGCUAAUGCUCACCGUACUACAAACUAAUAGAGCUGUCUUUUAACAGCUACGUGACGCAGUAGUUCUAGCGUGAGACACAGGGCCCGAUUCCCAAGUUAGCCUUGGUGUUCCUAUCAUUGGAGACAGUUUUCAACACAUUUCAUUCAGUCCUUCUAGUUGCAGAGUUCGCUCGUGCUAGGCUAGCGCACGGCAACAGGCCAUGCUAGCCUGCUAAUAAAACAUUCUUUCCCACUCCACAGUUCACCCGAGGUAAAUCAAUUAAAACGCCAGACUAUAGAUGUGAAUGUCUGUUGAAUAAUGUUAGAAAUAAAAGUAACCUUUCAUCGCAUGAAUCAUCGCAUUUUGAGGGACUAUUUUCUCGGUAAUGGAGCUGGUAACCUAGGUAUCAGCAAUGCAAUGCAAGGUUGGUAUUUUCCUAAAUACAUAGGCCCACUCAUGUUCUCCCCUUCACGCCAGUUUCAAAUCAAUGGGUUGUAAGCAGGUUAAUAAAUCGAGUACUAAUUGGAUCUUGUUGUCCCUACACAGGCCAGCACAUCGACUUAUUACAUUCAGCUGCCUCUCUCAAGGGAUGUUGCAUGCCAGACGGACCACGUGGAAAGUUUGAAAACGCAUACUGUAGGCACACAGCUAUCCUUUAGGACUUUGCUGCCCCACAUUAAAAGUGAAGGUGUCCAGGCAACUGUCUUCUGCAAGGAUUUCGGUGUUGAGACAUCCAAUGCAGACCCUUUGUGCCUGUCAUCGACACUAGUAAAGAGACAUCCAAAAGACCUCGGGUAGACCUUGAGGAAGAGCUGGAGGACAAUCCAUUGGAGGGCAGCUCUUUAGUGGAAGCUUCUAAGGGACCGGAUUCCACUUAUGAUCCUUCUGACUCCAUCACAGCAUUGUUAGACUCUACACUUAAGUCAGAAGAUUCAUCCACUGCAACACAGAACGGCAAGAAAUACAUGGUGUACGAGAGCUGCAUCAUGGAGUUGUUUAAUGCAUGUCCAGUCUGCACGAGGGAAUGUGAAGUGACAACCCAAAGGCUGGGGACAUUCCUGUCUGUGAAGCAGCAGUGCCCCCAUUGCAGAUUCGGAAGACGCUGGAACAGCCAGCCUAUCCUUGGGAGCACGCCAGCUGGAAAUCUGCACCUUUCUGCCGCUGUGUACCUGAGUGGUGCAUCUUUCCUAAAAAUCGAAAAGGUAAAUGAUGUGCAACUGUAAAUGUGUGACACUGAAUUGCUUCAAUAUAGAUCUAAUUACAUGUAUUAUUUAUCCCCCCACACUAGGGAUGCAAACAAUUAAUCGAUUAUCGAUUAAUUGUCGAUAAGAGAUUACUCGAUUAAAAUAAAUUACUUGCAAUUAAUCGCAUUUUUAACCCGUAAUUCCCCAACCGUCCACCAGAGGGCGCGCUUGACGCCAGACGUACUUGACGCACACGCGGGAACACAAGCGAAGCAGAACAAGACAAACGAAAAGCGGGACACUACUAGCCGUGUUCGAAAUCGUUCCCUAUCAUGGAUGUAGUGCACUAAAUAGGGUGCACGCCAUUUUCUAGGGUGUUCGAAUUCUCAGUGGUCCACUAUAUAGGGCACUAUAAUAGUGGACUUAAAAUAGGGUACAUACGAUGUUCCCUACAUGUUACUGCCGUAUACCACAAUGCAAUGCGGUUGUAUUUUUCCAGGGGAGAAGAAGCCGAAUAACCGCGAAAAAUAAUACAUUUAAUGAUGGAGUCUCCGGCAUUCGUUUAGAAAUGUCAACAAUUUAUUUGGGAUUUAACAUAGAAUAUUUAACAUUCAAAAUUAAUUAAACAAGGAAAUGUAACAUUCAACAUCAAUACAACCUCCAGCUUUCGUCGUGAGUGCCCGGUUUGUUUACUUGAUGUGGGCGCAUCUGUCUGCGUCACACAAAUACCCGGCGCAUUUACUGACGCAAAUGACGUUUAGAAAUGUUCAGCGUAGUGUCCGAAUUCUCGUUCCUUAUUCCCUAUAUAGUGCACUAUAUCAUGUACACUAUAUAGGGAAUAGGGAACGAUUUCGAACACAGCAAGUGACACGAUGAAGAGGGCAAAACGGAGUGCAGUAUGGAGCCACUUUAAGUUGGUUAAUGACGACAAAGACGCCAAAUGCACAAUUUGUGGAAGUAUUUUUGACAAAUGUACUUGUAAGUCACUUUGGAUAAAAGCGUCUGCUAAAUGCCCUAAAUGUAAAUGUAUUUUAAAGUACAACAACUAAACGACUUCGUUGAAUUACCACCUAAAUGUGUCACAUUCAGAAGGAAAUUCAGCUUCUCAGAAGAAUUGCCGCUUAUCAAUUAAUCGAUCAUCGAUCGAUAAGAUGAAACAACUAUCGAUUAAUGAAUUACUCGAUAAUUUGCAUCCCUACCCCACACCAAAAGGUCUUCAAGGCAAUGAAGCUACAGUUGUUUCGGUAUGAAACAUUUCGCCGCCAUGCCAAAAGUUUAAUUGAAACAGCAGUUAUUCACCAGUGGAAAGUCCUAAAAGAUUUGAAUCUGCAGUGGCUAAGUCAGGAGGAAAUAGUGAUACUUGGUGGUGACAUGAGAGCUGACUCUCCAGGUAUUGAUACUUAACUGAAAUAGUUUAUUUUAUACAGGUGUUCAAUAUUGUUUGAAGUUAAAAGAAUUGACCUAAAUAAAAUCUGACGGGUGAUUAAUACACUCAUUUCGCUAUUUGAACAAAAAUAGGUCACUCUGCAAAGUAUUGGAGUUACACAAUGAUGGAUCUCCAUACU